AAAGUUACAAACUGGCCUUUUUCUUCUUCCCAGACAAUGAAACUGUGGUAUCUCAGAAAAUGUCUUAUAGCUAAUGAGGUGACAUUCCUUAAAGAGCAGUGGAGGCGUUCCACCUUUGCUGAGUCAUCAUCAUGGCUAGGCUUCGCGAACGAAGAUUUGAGAAGGGCUCUACCCACGCUUGCUACAAGCACGCUGAUGGCUAAAAAGGCCAAUGCAAGAUAGACAAGUCCAGUUGCAGAAGGCACAGC